GACGAACGCUGGCGGCGUGCUUAACACAUGCAAGUCGAACGAUGAAGAAGAGAAACGCGAACUUCGGUUCAAAUUUCAGUUCGGAGUAGUGGCAGACGGGUGAGUAACGCGUGAGCAACCUACCUCUUACCAAGGGAUAGCCUCGGGAAACCGUGAUUAAUACCAUAUGACACAUUCAUAAGGCAUCUUAAGAAUGUUAAAGCUACGGCGGUAAGAGAUGGGAUCGCGUCCCAUUAGCUAGUUGGUGCGGUAACGGCCCACCAAGGCGACGAUGGGUAACCGGACUGAGAGGGGGAACGGUAACAUUGGAACUGAGCCACGGUCCAACAUCAUACGGGAGGCAGCAGUGGGGAAUAUUGCACAGUGGAGGGAACUGUGAUGCAGCGACGCCGCGUGAGCGAUGAAGGAAUUCGUUACGUAAAGCUCUGUUGUAUGGGAAGAAAAGGACCGUACCAGAGGAGAAAGCCCCGGCUAAAUACGUG
rnacentral:rRNA from 1 species